rnacentral:rRNA from 2 species
UAUCCUCAUAAGUUAGACGAUAAGAGGUACCAUCUAUUAUUUUUUUAAAUAUAGAUGGUGGCACAGAAUCGGAGGCCCCGACUGUUUACUAAAAACACAACACAGUGCAAUCAUUAAUGUGAUAGUAUACUGUGUGAAAUUUGCCCAAUGCCAUUAAUAUAAGAGCGGUCAUAUAUAAAUGUGACUAAUUGAAAAUCUGGUUAAUAGCGGUCUUAACCAUGAGGAUCCUAAGGUAGCAAAAUAAAUUGGCCAUUAAAUGUGGUCCGGUAUCAAUAAUGUAACGAUGGCCUCACUGUCUCUACAACUUGCUCAGUGAAAUUGAAUUACGCGUGCAGAUGCGCGUACCUC